rnacentral:piRNA from 1 species
UUCUGUUAAAGAAAGAAGGAGUAGACGUC